GUUUUCUCUCUACAAAUGGCGCUAGCAGAGUCCUGAGCUAGAGGUCUAACUCUGGGGAUCUCAACUAAUCCGGUAUGGCCACUCAUCCAAAACCCAAACAGAAAGGUGAAAAUUGUUUCUGUCAUCAUAUGAUUCAUGGAUCAAGGAAUCAAAGGGUAGAAGGAAUAUCAUCCAAUGAAUCAAAGGUAAGAUCAAUCAUCAUCCAAGGAAUCAAAGGGAAGACCAGUCAUCAUCCAAGGAAUCAAAGGUAAGACCAGUCAUCAUCCAAGGAAUCAAAGGGAAGAUCAAUCCCUAACUAAGGAUUUCUCACCCCCGGUAGAGAAGCGUCAGUGUCCUACUGCUCAUGCACAGAAAUAGUUGUGCCAUGUUUGGUAGGGUUAUGACUUUAUUGGGGAUCAGCAUGGUUUGUGGCAAUGGCUACAGAAGCCAAGGUGACAAGGAGGGGAUGAUGACUCUGACUUCUUUUCCUCCCCCUUCUUCUCUGUUGCUGCUAGGACUCACUAUCCUCAAACUCAGUAGCCCAGACAAGCUUUGAAUUUAUGAUCCUCCAGCUUCAGCCUCCCACGUAGCUGGGAAAACAGAGCCAUCCCACUAGAUUUAACUGUUUAGCUGACAUUUAAAGUGGACAAUGUUGAGUAAACAGAUUGCUCUCUGUAAUGAUGUGGCAGAUUCCUCCAAACAGUUUAAGGCCGGAAUAAGACAGAAGUCUCUUCUCUGCUGAGCAAGAGCCCUUCUCCAGAGGCUGCUUCUGUAUUCUGUCUGCAUUCUCAGUUCUUGAAUCCCUACCCCUGACCCUUAUGCUAGAACUCUAUUGUCAGCCUACCUAGGUAUCUGGGCUCUUGUUCCUUAGAGGCAAUCUCUCUCUCUCUCUCUCUCUCUCUCUCUCUCUCUCUCUCUCUCUCUCUCUCUCUCUCUCUCUCUCUCUCUCUCCCCCCUUGUUUGCUAUCCCCAGCUACCCUAUGCACUCAUUUUCCAGAUCUUUCCUGUGUUUUAUUUCACAUAACCUCAGUCUGCAGAGUGAGAAUAAAAGAGUGUAUCUGUGAAAUAGCAGUGGCUUCAGAAGACAAGGGCAGAACACAGGAAGUUUCGAGGUGAGGCAACCAUGUGCAGAGAAACUGGAACGUUUAUGAUGAGAAGCUCACAACACUUAACUAUGUUCCUGCUCUUCAUAUUGGAAAUUGCAAACACUGGGACAUCUUGGAAAGAAUUCCAAAGGAAGUUCGUAAUCCAGAAGGGCAGUGUCUACAGUGCCUCAGGGGCCAGGUCCACACAGGCUCUUCACAAACUUGACUCCUUUUGGACAUCAAGUUCAGGGGGAUGCAUCCUUGGGAAACUGAGGAAGAAAAUGCUUCAUUACUGAAUUUCUGAAGUAAGACUCCACCUGUUUGUGACUCUCUACAGGUACAGGAGUCUGUCUUCUGGUAUCCAUCUUUUACAGGUACAGGCAAGUACUCUCUC